rnacentral:rRNA from 1 species
UACGUAGGUGGCAAGCGUUGUCCGGAAUUAUUGGGCGUAAAGAGCUCGUAGGCGGUCUGUUGCGUCCGCUGUGAAAACCCGGGGCUUAACCCUGGGCUGGCAGUGGAUACGGACAGACUAGAGGUAGGUAGGGGAGAAUGGAAUUCCCGGUGUAGCGGUGAAAUGCGCAGAUAUCGGGAGGAACACCGGUGGCGAAGGCGGUUCUCUGGGCCUUACCUGACGCUGAGGAGCGAAAGCGUGGGGAGCGAACAGG